rnacentral:rRNA from 1 species
CAUCGUGAACGCUACCUAAACCGUUGCUUCGGCGGGCGGCGCCCUCGCGCGCCCCCCUGGGCCCGCACCGCGGGCGCCCGCCGGAGGUACACCAAACUCUUGAUAUGUAAUGGCCACUCUGAGUCUUCUAUACUGAAUAAGUCAAAACUUUCAACAACGGAUCUCUUGGUUCUGGCAUCGAUGAAGAACGCAGCGAAAUGCGAUAAGUAAUGUGAAUUGCAGAAUUCAGUGAAUCAUCGAAUCUUUGAACGCACAUUGCGCCCGCCAGUAUCCUGGCGGGCAUGCCUGUUCGAGCGUCAUUUCAACCCAUCAAGCCCACGGCUUGUGUUGGGGACCUGCGGCUGCCCGCAGGCCCUGAAAACCAGUGGCGGGCUCGCUAGUCACACCGAGCGUAGUAGCAUACGACCUCGCUCAGGGCGUGCUGCGGGUUCCAGCCGUAAAACGACCUUC